rnacentral:lncRNA from 1 species
CGCACACGCGCCGGACCGGGUACCGCUGUGCCCGGCCUGGCCGCGGCCUAGUCCCGGCAGACGGGACUGACGAGGUCACCAAGCCCAGGCCGAGACGGCGCGGGUGUCAGGGACUUGGGAAUCCCCCUCCCCCAGUCCCGAUCCCGCUUUCCUUUGGGGUUUCACCUCAGAGGACCCGACAGCACUCUUGCAGAACAGCCGUCUGCCUGUCUUCCUGGCUCGCUCCCUGCAGGAAUGGUCUGGGGCAACCCCAGCAACACGCCCACCUGUGGCCAGGAUGAAUAGGAAUCCAGUUCAGGCUUGGCUUCCAUGGCAAUCAAGGCCCACCAGGCCCCAGCAACCUUCCCUACCCCCCAUUCCUUUUUGCUGCCCCCCUCCACACCAGGCAUGUUCCCUGCCACACCAUGCUGUUCCCCUCACCUGGGCUGCCCUCCCAACUCCUCUCUGCCUCUGGAGAUGCUCUGCCAUUCAAGACUUGGCUCAGGCUCCAGGUCCUCCCUGGGCCUUCUAGAGCCCCUGGUUCUCACUCCUCUGAACACUUCCAGCCUGGCUAAUAGCCCACUGCAUCCUGGCCUGGGGUACAGGUGGCCAGCACAGGUGUGGGGGCCAGCUUCCAACACAAGCACGGGUAGGUCCCUCUGCAGACCAUGGGCUGCAAGAGGCCCGGCCUUGCCCACUGCAGGGGCCCUGCGCAGGGCUGGGCACGAAGCAGGUGGGUGUCCACCAAUCUAGUAUCCAAAACCCUGCUUGGUUCACCCCCACCUCUGUUGAAGGAAAGCAACACUGUGAUGGAGAGGAGCAGCUGUGGAUUCAAAUCCUGGCUUGGCCACUUUCUAGUUGUGUGACUUGGUGCAUCUGCCCUCAUCUCCUCAGAGACAAAAAUGGCAACACCUCCCUUCUUGGGUUACUAUGAGGAUUAAAUAACAAAACCUCCAAGAAGCAGA